UGCGGUAUGGUGUAAGGGUAGCACAAAUGAUUCUGGUUCAUUUGGUCUGGGUUCGAAUCCUAGUACCGUAGCCA
rnacentral:tRNA from 1 species